AUGGUUGUCGUCUAGCUCGUGUCGUGAGAUGUGGUUAAGUCCGCAACGAGCGCAACCCACGUUUAGUUGCUAACGCGUGAAGGCGAGCACUCUAGACGAACUGCCGUUGACAAAACGGAGGAAGGUGGGAUGACGUCAAAUCAUCAUGCCCUUAUGUUCUGGGCUACACACGUGCUACAAUGGCCGGUACAGACGGACGCAAAGCCGCGAGGUGGAGCAAAUCCUAAAAAGACCGGUCUCCAGUUCGGAUUGCAGGCUGCAAUUCGCCUGCAUGAAGUCGGAAUCGCUAGUAAUCGCAGGUCAGCAUACUGCGGUGAAUACGUUCCCGGGCCUU
rnacentral:rRNA from 1 species